CCGCACGCGGGAAGCUGACACGCGGUCCGUGCCCACGGUCGCCCAUGACCGCGCCGAGAAACUGGCGAGACCGACCCGCGUAAUC
rnacentral:ncRNA from 1 species